rnacentral:ncRNA from 1 species
UUCUUCGGGGCAGGGUGAAAUUCCCGACUGGCGGUAUAGUCCGCGACCUGUAUACAUUAUGUAUAUUAUAUAUUUUUUAUGGUAUACAUUAUGCACACAGCUGAUUUGGUGAAACUCCAAAACCAACAGUAAAGUCUGGAUGAAAGAAGAUG